CUGGCUCAGGAUGAACGCGUGGCGGCAGGCUUAAUACAUGCAAGUCGAACGGUAAGGUCCGAAGUGGCAACACGGAGGAUACACGAGUGGCGCACGGGUGCGUAACGCGUAUGCAACCUGCCCCCGACCGGGACAAAACAGCUGGAAACGGCUGCUAAUAUCCCAUGGUCAUGCGGAAGGGCAUCCUUCUUCAUGUAAAGAUUCAUUGGUCGGGGAUGGGCAUGCGUAUUAUUAGGUAGUUGGCGGGGUAACGGCCCACCAAGCCGACGAUGAUUAGGGGUCCUGAGAGGGUUAACCCCCCACACUGGAACUGAGACACGGUCCAGACUCCUACGGGAGGCAGCAGUAGGGAAUAUUGGGCAAUGGGAGCAAUCCUGACCCAGCCAUGCCGCGUGAAGGAAGACGGCCUAUGGGUUGUAAACUUCUUUUGCCGCAGAGUAAACCCGGUCACGAGUGGUCGGCUGAGAGUAUGCGGCGAAUAAGUAUCGGCUAACUCCGUGCCAGCCGCGGC
rnacentral:rRNA from 1 species